rnacentral:lncRNA from 1 species
UUGUAUUUCUUAUUUAGGACAGUUACAGCACAUUAAUAAUGUAAAACAUUGCUGACAGGUAUAAAACCACAUUAAACAAACGUAACUAAAUGUGUGGAUAUAGCCUGGCCUAAUGCGGACCACGAGCAGCGCAGUUUCGUUAUGCCGGCUAAAACCGGCCACUCUACAGCCUAGUAUCUGGUGCAGUCAAUGCUACCGGCGGCCCUUCCGGGGACGUGAAUGCGACGUGUCUUAUUUCACACCGGAGCCGCUAGACCAGGGUGCAUUGCGUGCUAGCUUGGCCGGCUCGCAACAUGCUGCUUUACGGUUCAGGUGCACCGAAUUGAGCGUGCCGAGUUGCACGUUCCCCAAACACAAAACUGACUGCUGCGCUGCUGCGGGCCGCAUUCAACCCGCCAAACUUUACAGGGGGCAGACUUUCGGCAAAUUUUUACACACUUUGCACGUGUUUUUUUCUUCUAUGCAUCUUGUACAACAAUCUAUUGUUAUUUGUGUUAUGUUGUGAACCGUGUCCCCCCUACGCAAUGCCUUGUGGCGAUGUAGGUGAAGUGCAAAUGAAAUGAAACUCCGGCAUCGCUGGAGCGGCGUAUCGAACUUCGCCGCCUGCUGCCCGACGCACUGAGUACGCCAGACUAUAUCCAUACCUUAAGCUUGGCGUUAAAGGGCAACUCCAGGGUUUUAGCACUCUGAGAAGACUACUGUGCUUGCUGUAUUGUUGCUCUAUCGUUAUGUUUGUUCCUUAUAAUA